rnacentral:rRNA from 1 species
AGUGAACGCUGGCGGUAGGCCUAACACAUGCAAGUCGAACGGCAGCACAGUAAGAGCUUGCUCUUACGGGUGGCGAGUGGCGGACGGGUGAGGAAUACAUCGGAAUCUACUUUUUCGUGGGGGAUAACGUAGGGAAACUUACGCUAAUACCGCAUACGACCUACGGGUGAAAGCAGGGGAUCUUCGGACCUUGCGCGAUUGAAGGAGCCGAUGUCGGAUUAGCUAGUUGGCGGGGUAAAGGCCCACCAAGGCGACGAUCCGUAGCUGGUCUGAGAGGAUGAUCAGCCACACUGGAACUGAGACACGGUCCAGACUCCUACGGGAGGCAGCAGUGGGGAAUAUUGGAGCAUGGGCGCAAGCCUGAUCCAGCCAUACCGCGUGGGUGAAGAAGGCCUUCGGGUUGUAAAGCCCUUCUGUUGGGAAAGAAAAGCAGCAGGUUAAUACCCCGCUGUUCUGACGGUACCCAAAGAAUAAGCACCGGCUAACUUCGUG